UACAGAGGUCCCAAAUGUUGUUCGGAAUCACUGGGCGUAAAGGGAGCGUAGGCGGGUUCUUAAGUAAGGUGUUUAAUCCCGGGGCCCAACCCCGGACCGGCACUUUAAACUGGGAAUCUUGAAUAGUGGAGAGGUCGGUGGAAUUGGGGGUGUAGCGGUGGAAUGCGUAGAGAUCCCCAAGAACACCAGUUGCGAAGGCGGCCGACUGGACACAUAUUGACGCUGAGGCUCGAAAGCAUGGGGAGCAAACAGG
rnacentral:rRNA from 1 species